CAGCAGCCGCGGUAAUACGUAGGUCCCGAGCGUUGUCCGGAUUUAUUGGGCGUAAAGCGAGCGCAGGCGGUUAGAUAAGUCUGAAGUUAAAGGCUGUGGCUUAACCAUAGUACGCUUUGGAAACUGUUUAACUUGAGUACAAGAGGGGAGAGUGGAAUUCCAUGUGUAGCGGUGAAAUGCGUAGAUAUAUGGAGGAACACCGGUGGCGAAAGCGGCUCUCUGGCUUGUAACUGACGCUGAGGCUCGAAAGCGUGGGGAGCAAACAGGAUUAGAUACCCCCGUAGUCCCUGUCUCUUAUACA
rnacentral:rRNA from 1 species